CAUGUACUGUUGGCCUUUGU
rnacentral:piRNA from 1 species